AAGAUUUUCAAAAAAAGUAAAAGAUGUUAACAAACGUAAAAAAACGUUUAAAAAGUUAGAUUAAGGUUAGGUGUUAGGAGUUAAGGAUUAGGAGUUAAGGAUUGGGGUUAGAGGUUAGGGUUUAGGGGUUAGGAUUAGGAGUUAAGGAUUAGGGUUAGAGGUUAGGGUUUAGGGGGUUAGGGAUUAAGGAUUAGGGGUUAGGGAUUAGGGUUAGUGAUUAGGGUUAGGGUUAGAUUUCUUCUGGGACAUUUUGAUUGGAUACUAAUUAAGAUCAAAUUAUAAUAGUUUUGUUUAUGGAAACACCACGUAUAUUUAUAGUAGCAAAGCUUUCGAUUCGUAAGCCCGGAUCUUCAUCAGUGUUAAUAAUAUGUGAC